GACGAACGCUGGCGGCGCGCUUAACACAUGCAAGUCGAACGGAAAGGCCUGCUUUCCCUUGUGGAUUGCGGGUACUCGAGUGGCGAACGGGUGAGUAACACGUGAGUGAUCUGCCCCCAACUUGGGUAUAAGCCUGGGAAACUGGGUCUAAUUCCCGAUAGGACUGCAGGGUGGUGCCUGUGGUGGAAAACGAUUUUCUAGUGGUUGGGGAUGAGCUCGCGGCCUAUCAGCUUGUUGGUGGGGUAAUGGCCUACCAAGGCGGCGACGGGUAGCCGGCCUGAGAGGGUGGACGGCCACAUUGGGACUGAGAUACGGCCCAGACUCCUACGGGAGGCAGCAGCGGGGAAUAUUGCACAAUGGGCGGAGGCCUGAUGCAGCGACGCCGCGUGGGGGAUGACGGCCUUCGGGUUGUAAACUCCUUUCGACCGCGAGGAAGCCACCUGGUUGGAAGGGUGGUGACGGUAGUGGUAGAAGAAGCACCGGCUAACUACGUG
rnacentral:rRNA from 1 species